rnacentral:rRNA from 1 species
AACGAACGCUGGCGGCAGGCUUAACACGUGCAAGUCGAACGCAUCCUUCGGGGUGAGUGGCAGACGGGUGAGUAACGCGUGGGAACGUGCCCUUCAGUUCGGGAUAACCCAGGGAAACUUGGGCUAAUACCGGAUACGUGCGAGAGCAGAAAGAUUUAUCGCUGGAGGAUCGGCCCGCGUCUGAUUAGCUAGUUGGUGGGGUAAUGGCCCACCAAGGCGACGAUCAGUAGCUGGUCUGAGGGGAUGAUCAGCCACAUUGGGACUGAGACACGGCCCAAACUCCUACGGGGGGCAGCAGUGGGGAAUAUUGGACAAUGGGCGCAAGCCUGAUCCAGCCAUGCCGGGUGAGUGAUGAAGGCCUUAGGGUUGUAAAGCUCUUUCGUCCGGGACGAUAAUGACGGUACCGGAAGAAGAAGCCCCGGCUAACUUCGUGCCAGCAGCCGCCGUAA